UCCGGUAUGGUGUAACGGCUAACAUUGCCGCCUUUCAUCUCGUGAAGGAAUUCGCGGCAGCUCGGGGUUCGAUUCCCCGUACCGGAA